AGUUGUCUUUCAUUUCUUAGGACAGAUCAUACUAUGUCCUUCUUCAGGGCCUCUAGAUAGGGUCUUGCUAUGUUGCAUAGGCUGAUCUCUUGAACUCCUCUGCCUCUCAAAGUGCUGAGAUUACAGAUGCUGUUGCUAAACAACACUUCCAUCAGAGGGCAAGCAGAGAGAGAUACACCAUUCCUUUUAAAGGUAUCUUUCCCAAUCUGCAGAGCUACAGAAAUGCCAGCUUCUAAAAUGUUAACUUAUAUUGUUUCUGCUUGAAGUUGUGGCCAGUGCUACAGGUCAGUGUCUCAAAGGGAUUUUUGGCAAUUUAUUCUAAGACUAAUGAAAAGAACUCUGGAAUGGAAACAGACCUGAUUUUACUCCCAGCUGUGCCACUGAUUCAGGAUAAUAUCAUAGCCACAUUAUUUAACUACAGCUCAGAUUCUCUUUUUUAAAUUGAUGUUAUACAUAUGUUGGGAGUACAUAUGGUAUUUUGAUACACGUAUACAAUGUGUGAUGAUCAAAUCAGGGUAACUGAGAUAUCCAUCACCUCAAACAUUUAUCUUUUCUCCAUGUUGGAACCAUUAUAAUUAUCUUCCAGCUAUUUGGAAACACACAAUAAAUUACUGUUAACUUUAAUUUCCCUACUUUAGUAUCAAAUACUAGAACUUAUUACUUCUACCUAACUGCAUUUUUGUACCCAUUAACCAACUUCUCUUCAUUCCCCUCUUCGCUUCCCAGCCUCUGGUAACCACCAUUCUACUCUCUACUUCCAUAAAAUCCACUUUUUUAGCUCCUAUAUCUGAGGAAGAACGUGUGAUAUUUGUCUUUCUGUGCCUGGUUUAUUUCACUUAACAUAAUGAUCUUCAGUUCCAUUUUGCUGUAAAUAACGGGAUUUUAUUCUUUUUUAUGGCUGAAUAAUAUUCCAUUGUGUAUACAUACCACAUUUUCUUUAUCCAUCCACCUGAUGAUGGACACUUAGGUUGAUUCCACAUCUUGCCUAUUGUGAAUAGUGCUGCAGUAAACAUGAGAGUGCAGGUAUCAUUUGGAACAAUGAUUUCCUUUCUUUUAGACAUAUAUUCAGCAGUGAAUCUGCUGAAUCAUAUGCUAGCUCUAUUUUUAGUUUUUUUGAGAAACCUCCAUACUGUUUUCCUUAAUAACUGUACUACUUUACAUUCCCACAAAUAGUAUGUAAGAGUUCCCCUUUCUCCACACCUUCAACAGCAUUUGUAAUUUUUUGUCUUUUUGAUAACAGCCAUUCAAACUGGAGUGUGAUAAUAUCUCAUUGUAGUUUGGAUUUGCAUUUCCCUGAUGAUUAGUGAUGCUGAACAUUUUUUCGUAUACCUGUGGGCCACUGGUAUGUCUUUAUGCCUACUCAGGUCUUUUGCCCAUUUUUUACUCAGAUUAUUUGUUUUUCUGCUAUUGAGCUGUUUGAGUUCCUUAUAUAUUCUGGUUAUUAAUCUCUUGUCAGAAGGAUAGUUUGCAAAUUUUCUCCCACCCCAUAGGUUGUCUCUUCACUUUGUUCAUUGUUUCCUUUGCCAUGCAGAAGCUUUUUAGCUUGAUACAAUCCCAUUUGUCUGUUUUUGCUUUUGUUGCCUAUGCUUUUCAGGUCUUAACCCAAAAAGCUUCUUGUCCAGCCUAAUGUCCUGAAGCCUUUCCUCAAUGUUUUCUAAUAGUUUCAGAUCUUACAUUUAAGUCUUUAAUCAAUUUUGAGUUGAUUUUUGCAUAUGGUAGAGAUCUAGAUUCAUUCUUCUGCAUAGAGAUAUCCAGUUUUCCUAGCACCAUUUAUUAAACAGACCAUUCCUUCCCCAAUGCACAUUUUGGGUGCCUUUGUUGAAAAUGAGUUGGCUAAAAGUGUAUGGAUUUAUUUCUGGGUUCUCUAUUCUGUUUCGUUGGUAUAUGUGUCUGUUUUUAUGCCGGUACCAUGAUGCUUUGGUUAUUAUAGCUUUGUAAUAUAAUUUGAAUUCAGGUAGUGUGAUAUCUCCAGCAGUGUUCUUUUUGCUCAAGAAUUGCUAUAGAUAUUCAUGGUCUUUUGUGGUUUCAUACAAAUUUUAGGAUUUUUUUUUCUAUUUCUGUGAAGGAUAUAAUUGGUAUUUUGAUAGGGAUUGUAUUAAAUCUGUAGAUCACUUUAGGUAGUAAAGACAUUUUAACAAGAUGAAUUCUUCCAAUCCAUAAGCAUAUCUUUCCUUUUUUGUGAAUCCUCUUCAAUUUCUUUAAUCAGUGUUUUAUAAUUUUCUUUGUAGAGAUUUUUCACUUCCUUGGUUAAAUUCGUUUCUAGGUAUAUUUUUUGGUACCUAUUGUAAAGAAGAUUGCUUUCUUGAUUUCUUUUUCAGAGUGAUCUCUGCUAAUGUAUAGAGAUGCUACUGCCUUUUGUAGGUUGAUUUUGUAUCCUGUAACUUUACUAAAUUCAUUUAUCAGUUCUAAGAGUUUUCUGGUGAAGUCUAGGUUUUUCUAAAUAUAAGAUCAUGUCCCCUUCAACCAAGGAUAAUUUGACGUCUUCCCUUUCAAUUUGAAUGCCUUUUAUUUAUUUCUUUUGCUUAAUUAUUCUGGCUAGUAUUUCUGGUAUUACACUGAAUAAAAGUGGUGAAAGUGGGCAUCCUUGUCUUGUUUCAGAUCUUAGUGGAAAGGCUUUCAAUUUUUCCCCAUUCGGCACGAAACACACAGCUUUUGGGCUUGUCAUAUAUGGCCUUUAUUGUGUUGAGGUAUGCUCCUUAUAUACCCAAUUUGUUGAAGGUUUUUAUCAUGAAGGGAUGCUGAAUUUAUUAAAUGCUUUUUAGCAUCUAUUGAAAAGAUCAUAUAGUUUUUGACCUUGAUUCUAUUGAUGUGAGGUAGCACAUUUAUUGAUUUGUGUGUUGAACAGUCCUUGCAUCUUAACAUGCAAAAUAAUAAAAUUGAUCUAGACCACCUUUAAAAUUCAUUUAAACUGGGCCGUGUGUGGUGGCUCAUGUCUGUAAUCCUACCACUUUGGGAGACCAGGGUGGGUGGAUCACCUGAGGACAGGAGUUCGAGACCAGCCUGGCCAACAUGGCAAAACCCUGUCUCUACUAUAAAUACAAAAAUUAGCCAGGCAUAGUGGUAAAUACCUGUAAUCCCAGCUAUUCCGGAGGCUGAGGCAGGAGAAUCUCUUGAACCCAGGAGACAGAGGCUGCAGUGAGCCAAGACUGCGCUACUGUACCCCAGCCUGGGAGACAGAGUGAGACUCCGUCCCCCACUCCAAAGAAAAAUUUCAUUUAAACUGUUUCUAUGAUUCCAUUAUAAUAAACAAGAGUUGGUAUUUAUUAAUAAAACAUUGCUAAAGUGUUAGCCUAGAACAGUAGAUUACAGAAUACUGAGAGGGAAAGAAUGGCCCUAAGAACUUUCAGGAUAGCGAUGAAAACUGCUAACAUUUAUUAAGUGUUCAUUAAAUACCAGGAGAUUUGCAAACAUUAUUUCAAAUGAUCAUUGUAAUAAGCCUUUUAAGUAGACACUUUUAUCAUCAUAUUGAAUCUAAAAGUGUAUGGAGUCGAGGUUCUUAAUUAGGUAUAAAAGAUUCGUAAAUGGUCAAACCAAGUUUCAGACCAAACCUGUUUCUAGAGUUGUUAAACAUUGUGCAGGAACACCGCCUCUUCAAAAUAAGCUAAGUGGUCCUAAUAAUCAGAUAAGGUACCACAGAUAGUUUAUGGUCUAGUCAUACUUGCAGCCAUACUUGGAGCUUUCUGUACAAUGUUCCCCCAGGCCCCACUGUCUCUCCUUCAAUAUGGAAUGUUUUUCCUUUCUUCCUUCUUUGCCAGGCUCGCUCUUCUUUAAGACUUAGAUAAGAAGCUCCCUCCUUCAUGAAGUUUUCUCUAUCCAUUCAUUUCCAGAUUAGAGCUGCUCUUCUUUGUGCUCCUUGGUCACCUAUACUUAUAUCUGCCAUAGGAUUUAUCAUAUACCAUAACGUAAUUGUCCAUGUUCAUCUUAUCCUCUGGAUGAUGAGUUCUUAGAGGGCAGGAACUUGUUAUUUUACCUAACACAGUCAUGAUUAACACACAAAAAAAUGCCACAUUCCUUUAGGACUAUGGGGCUUUAUAUUUUACUAUACAUCUUUACAUACAUUCUCAUUUAACCCCCAACAACUAUCUUUGAAAGAAAUCUAUUAUCUCUACAUUCUAUACAAACAACCUAGGCCAAGAGAGGCCAAGUGAUCACACACAUGGUCACACAGAAUAACUGAGAGAGCUAGAAUUGAACUCUAACCUUCUGACUGUAAGUCCACUACUAAUAUAGAUGGCUGAUUUAGAACAGCUCACUGUUUAAAACUUGAAACAUAUUUUCUCUUAGAAACAAACCUUUCAGACAUAUAGUACUAACAGUAAUGCCAAAGUUAAACAUUAUAUAUGAGCAAUCUGCCACAGGCAAUUACAUUAAUGGACUCAGGAUUCUCCUAGAGACAUCAAGUAUACAUUGGGGCCUACUAAAGGCCUGGAGGGAGUAACAGAAAAGCUCAAUGGAGCUACGUCAGUUCUUCAUCAUGGAGGUGAUUCCUACAACUUGGAAGAGGGGCUCUAACAGCUCGAAAGGCAACAUUUCAAACAGCCAGGAGAUUCAGAACUGCAGCAUGGCUCUGGAACAAAGGAGAUGGUGGGGGAUGGGAAAGUGGGGACAGGAUGAUGUAUGGAAUCGAAAUUCCAGGAGAUGAGAGAGUAUGGGGAGGUAAAAUAUGGGGAAGGGCGGGACUAUACAUUUGUGGAUUUUCACAGGAACAGAGGGUUCUCCUUUUCAUUACUCCUCACCCAUGCUGCUAUCAAAAGGGCAAUUUCUACAACAGAGAAUGAGGUUCCUGAUUCUGCACCCAGUUUCCCUUUCUUCUCCCCAUCUGUCUGCUACUUUCGGUCCCACCACCAUGUCACUAUUUUGGAUCAGCACUUAAAAAGGGAUGAAAACUGUGCCUAAGAGCAGAAAGCUUUUUGACAGCAGUGGGGUCCUAAUCACAGGGAGAAUGAAGAGAUUGUAAGGGGUGAAAAUAGCCACCAAUAGAGAAGAAAAGCAACUGGCUGUGGCCACCCAGCUGAAGCAGCCUUCCAAAAAAGACACGAGUCAUGCAUAGGUACAUCCCAGCUGUACAACUAGGUUUAAGUGAAUGAAAUACUCUAGCUGAAAGCAAUCUCUUUCUCCCAUGAAUUUCUAUACUGCUUAACUAUUUCUACAAAAUGGCACAUCAUAUGGGCUGCCUUACUUUGUAACUGUUUGCUUAUAUCUUAUGUUCCUGCUAUACUGCAAGCUGCUAUAAGACAAGGACUGUAGAAAACACACCAAGUUGCCAUUUAAGUAUUAGCUGAAUGUAUAACUGACUUUUAGUCUUCCUUAAAUAAAAGAACUUGUUUUGUUUUGUUUUUAAUUAUCAAUUUGCUAUCCCAUAAUUGUGUGAAAGAUAAAUAAUACUGUCUGCCUGAUAUCUCACUUUAAAGCAGCACUGGUGAAUCCUUGGCUCCAGAACAGAACCAAAGAGGCUUAUAAAUAACAUAGUGGAGGUAGCAAUUUAAAGUUGUGUGGUCGACAGUGGUAUCGGAAGAGAAUUUGUGUGCCUUGCUUUAAGCAAACCUGAUAUAAACAAAUCAGUAUAAAAGAUAAACUUUAAAAGAUUAAAAUAUAUGUAUUUACUUGUUCCUUUCAUGUGUAAAAGGCAAUCUUACAAAACCAAUGCACCCAAAGCACUUAGCCAUAUGCCUGUAUUAAGUUACAAGCCUAAAAAUACAAAACAGCCUAGUGAAGUACUACCAUAUAACUUUUCAUUUGUUAUAUUUAAUAUAAGUAUAUACUAUCCAAAAUAUCUUAAAGAUGAUCUGUGAAAUCACCUAAAUACUGUGGGGGAAAACCUAACUUCUAAUAAUAAAGCAUUUUUGUGUAUGUAGAGACAUGUUAAUAAUAGUAGUACCAAACAUUUUGUGAGCACUUGGCAAUUUCCAGAAACUCUGCUACAUGCUUUACAUGAAUCCUCUCAUAAAACUCAAAAACCCUAUGAAGUAGGUAUCAGAUGUAAUAUUAUAAUCCUUGGUUUAUAGAUUAGGAAGCUGAAGCUCAGAGUUUAAGCCACUUGCUCAAAUUCACAGACCAAGUAAGUAGUGGAAACAGGAUUUAGAACUACGCCCACUGAGUUCAAAGGCCAACUCUUAACCAUCUCCUGCGUUCUGAGGAAACCUCAAACCUCAAGAUACAGCCGAAUUCACCAUCAGCUGUGGCAGACCUUGGAUAUAACAAGCAUACACAUUACAUGUAUUCUGCUUUUCAUUUUUUAAUAGCUUUCAUACUACUUUUUUAAAACUGCUAUGUCCUAAAUUUAUGAUUUUAAAAACAUUAGUAAUGUCAUUCUUAAUGUUAAGAAAGCAACUGGCUUGUUAAUAAUUUUUUUAAUUAAAAGCAACUGGCAUAAAAGUUUCUUUGGGAAAAUUAAUGCAUUUUAGGGAAAUCAACUUCUGAUAUCCUGAGACAGGAGAGUAGAGUUAAAAACAGUACAGACUGUUACAAACAGUAUGUGUUACAAACAUAUACUGCCUUCUCUUAAAGCAUGAAAACAUCUUUAUAUCUACCAAAAGGUUUGGCAAGGGGGUCAGGAAGAAGAAAGACUAAACAUUAUUAAUAAAAGUAAAUAUAUUUAAAGUUGGCUAUAUG
rnacentral:lncRNA from 1 species